AACGAACGCUGGCGGCAGGCUUAACACAUGCAAGUCGAGCGCCCCGAAAGGGGAGCGGCAGACGGGUGAGUAACGCGUGGGAAUGUGCCCUUUGGUCUGGAAUAACUCAGGGAAACUUGAGCUAAUACCGGAUAAGCCCUUCGGGGGAAAGAUUUAUUGCCAUUGGAGCAGCCCGCGUCAGAUUAGCCAGUUGGUGAGGUAAAAGCUCACCAAGGCGAUGAUCUGUAGCUGGUCUGAGAGGACGACCAGCCACACUGGGACUGAGACACGGCCCAGACUCCUCCGGGAGGCAGCAGUGGGGAAUAUUGGACAAUGGGGGCAACCCUGAUCCAGCCAUGCCGCGUGAGUGAUGAAGACCUUAGGGUUGUAAAGCUCUUUUACUCGGGAAGAUAAUGACUGUACCGAGAGAAUAAGCCCCGGCUAACUUCGUGCCAGCAGCCGCGGUAA
rnacentral:rRNA from 1 species